GCCAGCAUGGCAUAGUGGUUUGAGUGUUGGACUAUAAUACCAGAGACCAGGGUUUGAUUUCCCAUUCAGCCU